rnacentral:rRNA from 1 species
AGUGAACGCUGGCGGUAGGCCUAACACAUGCAAUUCGAACGGCAGCACAGUAAGAGCUUGCUCUUACGGGUGGCGAGUGGCGGACGGGUGAGGAAUACAUCGGAAUCUACUUUUUCGUGGGGGAUAACGUAGGGAAACUUACGCUAAUACCGCAUCCGCCCUACGGGUGAAAGCAGGUGAUCUUCGGACCUUGCGCGAUUGAAUGAGCCGAUGUCGGAUUAGCUAGUUGGCGGGGUAAAGGCCCACCAAGGCGACGAUCCGUAGCUGGUCUGAGAGGAUGAUCAGCCACACUGGAACUGAGACACGGUCCAGACGCAUACGGGAGGCAGAAGUGGGGAAUAUUGGACAAUGGGCGCAAGCCUGAUCCAGACAUACCGCGUGGGUGAAGAAGGCCUUCGGGUUGUAAAGCCCUUUUGUUGGGAAAGAAAAGCAGCAGGUUAAUACCCCGCUGUUCUGACGGUACCCAAAGAAUAAGCACCGGCUAACUUCGUG